UUAACAUGGUAUCAAGAGCCCUAGGUUUUUCCUUUAGAUCCAAAAACCCCAAAAUCUGAUAGGUUUUAAUAUUGCAAAUUGCCGUCGCAAGAUCACGUAAUUGUUCCAAAUUGCAAAUCAGUUUUGUUAAUCAGACUGUUCUUUAGCAAUUACAUGAUACCAUAUUAUUGACAAUUAUUUGCAGUUAUCAUUCCCAAAAGUCAACUCUUUUGAAUCUCUUUUAUUUCAGCUUCCGCUAUUAUCUAUUCACUCAUUGUUUUUUUCAAUUGAUGGAUCACACGGCUUCAUUACCCACGUCGGUCUUGGAUGUUCCGGCAUCCCCAGCCACCCCUGCGCAAGGUACUACACCUUUGCAGCAACUCCCUGGAAACCACCGACCACUACAUUCCGAUUCGCAGCCAGCCUCUGUAACUGGCGCACCACCCACCUUCCCGUGGCAGCCGACAACCACCACCACGCCACGCCCCUUAUUUGAGGGACAACCAAUUCCGUCCGUUCACGGUGGUUUUGUCUCUGGCGAUGUUGGCAGUGGUCUCGAUGCAGCAGCGGGAUGUCUCAACUCUAUGCGUUUUGGCUCGUAUAGAGACUCGGGUCAGUUGCCUCACAACCAAGGACACACGCAAGGAGUUUUUGGUGGUCCCACAUUCGUGGGUAGUCACGGGCUGUCCCCGCCCGUCUCCACACCGAGUGGUUUUGGCCCUCCACACCGAGUGGCUUUUAUCCUUACAGUCCGAAUUUGUCUCAAUUGUCUGGAAAUUUGGUAACUGCGACAUCUAAUGUUAAAAAUAUAGUUACUAUUGUUCUUACUACUGUUGAAAAUUAUUUACCAUGGCGUACGCAGUUUGAAUCUUUUUUGGUUUCUCAUGGUCUGUUAGGCUUCAUUGAUGGUUCUAUUACUAUGUCGAAUAUGUUUGUGAUUGAUAAUCAAAACCGUCAAACUAUGAAUCCUGAUAAUUAUCAUUGGCUAAGAAUAGAUCAAACUAUACGUUGUUGGUUAUUUGCGACUUUGUCUCAAGAUAUGCUUGUUGGGGUGCAUGAAGUUAAAUUUUCGCAUUUGCUUUGGGAGAGACUUCACUCUCGUUUUAUGCAUGCUAGUAUGGCCCGCUCUAUGGAGUUGAAAACUUUGUUACAACAUGUUGCUAAGCAAGAAUCUCAAUAUAUGGAGUCAUAUUUGCGUGAAGUGAAAAUUCUAGCUGAUUCUCUGGCUGCGAUUUAACUCUUCAGUUUCUACUCAUGACUUGAUUUUGCACACUGUGAUGGGCCUUGGUCAAGAUUAUGAUGCUGUGACAAGUCAAUUUCUACAUUUUAAUGGUCACAUUCCUUUUACUGAUGUUCGUCGGGCAUUGUUAAGUCACGAACAACUUAUUAAAGGUCGUCAGGCUAGGGAACAAGGUUUUGCCACACAUCAGGCAUUCUUGGCAAGUACUCGUUCUGUCUCGAAUAGAUCGGACAACAACUCCACUUCCUCUACUACAAGGAACAAUUCUAAGGGAUCCCGUAGCAACAAUGGGGGUCGUGGGGGUGGAAAAGGCUGUGAAAAAGGUCAUGGUGGUCGUGGAAAAGGCCGUGGUGGGGUGCAAACCAAACACAAGCCCAAACACAAAAUUCAGGAGGGAAUUCUAAUGCAGAGGGUGUGUUUGGUCCUAGUCCUACCAAUAUAGUCUGUCAAAUCUGUUUCCAUCCAGGUCAUUCCGCAAUUGCUUGCCCAUCUCGUUAUUCUCAGAAUUCGAAUGCCGCUCUUGCUAGUUUUCCCACAAGAGAGCAUAAUGAGACUACUUGGUUUCCUGAUUCCGGAGCAUCUUCUCACAUGACUAACGACCUCGGACAACCAGUCGGGGGAGGUGCUUCUCAAAGCUUCUAGUCAAGGCAGUGUCUAUCCAAUCACCCUCACCAACCAACCUAGGAGAUCAGUUGCUUUUGCCUCAAUCACAGCUCCAGGUCCUACGUGGCAUCGUCGUCUUAGUCAUUGUGGUGAUAGAGUAUUAGGUGCUCUUAAGAGCAAUAAGGCAAUUGUUUGUGCCAGUAGUAAUGUGUUUGAUUGUGUUUCAUGUUGCUUAGUAAAGUCUCAUAGGCUACCUUUCCAGGAUGUAAUGCACUCGUUUGAUAAACCUUUGCAAUUAGUUAUUUGGAUUUGUGGCAAUCGCCUGUUUUGUCUAACCUUGGUUUUAAAUAUUAUGUUUUCAUUGUU